AUCGCCCACGCUGACCGUGAGAGUCCGACCGCCAACCUUGAGCACGGCCGAGUCGCCGAAGCCGCGGGAGAAGGAGUUGAUGGAGACCUCCAAGAAGCUGGUUCAAGCUCCCUAAACCCAGAGCUGGAGGAAGACCCUGCUGAACAGAUGACGUCACAGACAGAGGCAGAAGCCCCAGGAUUGGUGGACAGACAGACAUUGGAAUGCGAGAAAUGGAGUCCGGACCCCAGGCUGGAGUGCAAUGGCACGAUCUUGGCUCAUCGCAACCUCCGCCUCCCGAGUUCAAGCGAUUCUCCUGCCUCAGCCUCCCGAGAAGCUGGGAUUACAGAUGGAGUCUCAUUCUGUUGCCCAGGGUGGAAUGCCAGUGGCGCAAUCUCGGCUCGCUGAAACCUCCGCCUCCAGGAUUCAAGAGAUUCUUCUGCCUCAGCCUCCCAAGUAGCUGGGAUUACAGGCAUGCGCCACCAUGCCCGGCUAAUUCUUGUAUUUUUAGUAGAGACGGGGUUUUGCCAUGCUGGCCAGAGCUGAUCUCGAACUCCUGACCUCGGGUGAUCUGCCCGCUUUGACCUCCCAAAGUGCUGGGAUUACAGGCAUGAGCCACUGCACCUGACCAUACAUUUUAUACUUUAUUUAUUUUUAUUUUUUAUUUUGAGACAGGGUCUCAGUCUGUUGUCCAGGCUGGAGUGUAGUGGCUUGAUCAUGGCUCACUACAGCCUCAACCUCCUGGGGUCAGGGAUUCUUCCACCUCAGCCUCCUGAGUAGCUGGGAUUACAGGCACCAGCCACCAUGCCCGGCUAAUUUUUGUAUUUUUGUAGAGACAGGGUUUUGCCAUGUUGCCCAGGCUGACUCCAUACAUUAAAAAAGUUUUUAUUUUAUAUUUAUUUAUUUCGAGACAGAGUCUCUGUUGCCCAGGCUGGAGUACAAUAGCACGAUCUCAGCUCACUGCAACCUCCACUUCCCAGGUUCAAGUGAUUCUCCUGCCUCAGCCUCCCAAGUAGCUGGGAUUAAAGGCAUGUGCCACCACUUCCGGGUAAUUUUUAGUAGAGAGGGGGUUUCACCAUGUUGGCCAGGCUGGUCUCGAACUCCAGACCUCAAGUGAUCCGUCCACCUCAGCCUCCCAAAGUGCUGGGAUUACAGGCACGAGCCACUGCAUCUGGCCAAAAGUUUUUUUUUAGAGACAGGGUCUUGCUCUGUCACCCAGGCUGGAGUACAAUAGCACAAUCAUAGCUCACUGCAGCCCCAACCUCCUGGGUUCAAAUGAUCCCCCAACCUCAGCCCUCUGAGUAGCUAGAACUACACGUGCACAUCACUACACCCAACUAAUUUGAAAUUUCUGUAGAGAUGGGGGUCUUGCUAUGUUGCCCAGGCUGGUCUUGAACUUCUGGCCUCAAAGAAUGCUCCCAACUCAGCAUUGGGAUUGCAGCCGUGAGCCACUGCACUCAGCUUCCAUAAAUGUUUGUGACCCCAGAGCGUCCACUCUGCCUUCCAGCCCCAGCCCCACUCGCCUCCACGAGGAAGUCGAAGAGGCGGGCAUAGAGCCCCUUGGCCA